UUUUUUUUUUAAUCUUUCUUCCUUCUCGAGCCUUCCUUGCAUUGAUCCCUUCUCUUCCGCAAAAAUUUUUUCCCACCGAUCGUCCCGAUAUUUUCUCUCCAUAUCCCCCUUGGUUUCCGUCGUUUGUGUUUUGUGCGAUCUCUUCUGUUCCGUUCACUUCCUCCAUUCAUUUUUGUGGAAUGGGUUUUGGAGUUUUUACAGUGAAGCAAAAAAAAAAAAAGUAAAAAACCCAUGCAGUUCCAGAAACCGAUUGGGGAUGGUGAGGCUUCUAUAAACUCAAAACCGUUCCCACCAAAUUCACCAACUGCCCUUCUCACCGAUCUCUCCCCGUUCGUUUUUGUCUGAGACUUUGAUCGAUGGCUUCGUCCUUUCUCUCUACGAAGCCAUUUCUUGGCUCUUCCAUAACCGAAGACGCCUUCUCUGGACUCCGUUACCUGCGCUCACAUCUUCUUCGUUCCCCGGUACACAUUUCCAACAGUACCUCUACCGCCAAGAAGCUCCCAUAGAAGAUGCGUGUAUUGUCCGUAUUGGGCUGUAAUAUGGAGGUUUCUUGUUGUGCUGCUAUUAUGUGUUGUUGACAUGAACACAAGUAUGUUGGUAGUGUGGUAAUUUCUUGUUGGAAGUGCAGAUUUAUGUAGCUGCUUUUUGUAGCUAGUAUGUUGCUGUAAUUGAUAGAAGAAAGUUUGGCAAAAGAAUAUAGUUGGAUGGAAAAUGUAGAUAUUUGAUUUGUAAUUAAGACAUUUAUAUAGAAUUUUAGAUUAGCUUAAUCAAAUAUCCGUGGUUAUUAGCAUUAAAUGACCUUUGAAAAUAUAAUUUUUGAAAUAUUAAUUUAAUUAAAAUAUAAUUAUUAAUUAACAUAUAAUCGGUAGAACUACAAAAUGUGAUAAAAAUAAAUUAAAUAAAAAAUUAUUAAAUUAAUAAUAUUUUAUUAUUAUAUAGAGAGUAAAUGGAUAAUUCAAUGUAAUGAUUGGAUUUGAAUGGAAUAUGCAAAUGCAAACUCAUGUUAUAUUAGCUAAAAUUUGAGUUUGCAUUUAGCUAUUCCAAUUAGAGUGCUAAAGGUCAUAUUUUGGAAGUUUUGCAUAAUCUGGAUUAAUCCCAUAUUGUAAAUUAUGCAAAAAUGUCAUAUUUUGAGAGUUUUGAUCCAUAUUCAAAUAGUAAAAGAAAAAAAAAAUAACUCUGAUGGUAUAUUAAAGUAAUCUAGAAAAAAAAAAUGAUGAAGGGAGAGGCGUGCGUGGACGUGGCCACGUCAGUCGGGAGAAUAUAUCAGUAGCAAACAUCAGUGGCUGUAGAACCACUCUUGUGGUAAAUCACGUUUGUUUGCAAAAUAGCCAAGAAUGCUAUGACUCGCCCAAGUUCAUGACUUAGCAACCUCUGACUCGUUCUUCUGUCGUCCAACUUGAAGCUGAAUGGAAAGCAACAGUUGUCCGAUUUGGUAACCUUCCUUUCAACCUAAUUUCAAUCCCUAUAUCUUCAAUCUGGGAAUUUCUUUGAGAUAUUUUCGUUUCCCCGGCUUUAUUGAAACUGCAUUUCAGAUUUGAGCAGGAUUUGAUUUAUUUUUCCCCCAUUUUCAUUAUGGAAGGCUGUGAUCUUGGGUUUGAUAAAGUAUUUGCUUUACUUAUUGCUCUGUUUGGUUCCAAGGAGAGGAAUGCUGGAAAUAAUAGGAAACAAUUGAAUUUAGUUGGGUUUUAUUUUUGUUUUUGAGAGACCAUGACAUAUAAGAAAACUCGAGCUGUUUGUUUUUUGUUUUCUCUCGUCCUUUUGUUUUCUAUUCUUCUGCUGGAAUUAAAUCCAUGCCUAUCGAAAUGGAAACCCACCUUUUGUUUCUGAGUAAGGAUUUUUGUAUAAUGUAAAGCAUGGAUUCAGAAAUUUUAGCUUGGGAUAUAAAGGGCUUAGUGGAGAUUGUAUACAGAGUUGAUAGUACUUGUUAUACUCCUGUUAGCCAAUGCUGGCAUACUAUUAGUUGUUUCAUUUGUUCUAAUGUCCUAAUGCAUAAAUCAAUGUUAAAUUAGUUGUCUACUAUUUAAUGCGAACUUUUUUGGAAUAUACUUAAAAUAUGGGUUUUUUCCUUGGGGGGUGGAGGAUAGGGAGUUCCCAUGUGUAGGCUCCAUGUAUAUUACAUUGUUAGUUUGUGUUGAUUGAACAUUUUCAUACCGGUUGUACUUAUGUUUCAUGGAUCAAUGAAAAAUAAAUCGACCCUUCUUGGAUAUUAUAUUUUGCAUACAAUUAUUUGCAACAUAGCAAUGUGGAAGGAAGAUACCAAAACAAAUUAGGAGUUUGGCAACCAUUGGCGAUGAAAUAUUGAGCUUUUCUGAUCUUUCAAAGGUUUGGUUCUUGAAUUCAUAUACGUUGCUUUUUUAGUUAAGGUCCUCUUCUAUCUUGUUGCCUGUUCUGCUAGACAUAUCAUAAACAUCAAUGCUCAUACGUGCCAAAAAGUAUCUGAAUGACAAUCACCAUAGAACUGCAUGCUUGUCCAUUUAAUCUUAUAUCACCAAUUGAUAAUUAAAUAAUUUUAUAUUACCAAUUUAUAAUUAAAUAAAUUGCUUGUUUCAUGCCAAUCAUAUGCUGCAAAUAUUUGCUAUCUGCCAUUAUCUUCCCCCUCAAUGCAUUUCCGGAUUUUCCCAAGUAAUUCAAAUUGUUGUUUUAUCUCAUAGGUCAUGAAUUUUUCAUGCAUAAGCAUGGUCUCAUUAAAUACAAUCAUGAAAUGUAGGAAUACCAUUGUAUUAGACUCCAUUUCAUGGGGCUUGCAUCACAUCAAAAUCCAGGCAGUGCUGGUGGCUGAGUUAGGAUACCUUUAUGUUUGAUAAGAGGAUAUAGUGUCAUAAAGGCUAAAUUGUAGUAUACUUGCAGGUCAUUUAAAAUACUCUAUACUUUCCAGUUUGAGAAUUGGCUUUGUCAAGGUACACCAAAUUCAAUGGGAGGUUCAUUCAAAACCUUCUAAACAUGGAGGAGAUCGUCGAAGCUGCAAAAUGUUUCCGAAGAAUUCCUGAUUGCUUGGUUUGCAAGAAUUUGGAAUUUGCACUGCACAGACUGCAACCAACUUUACUGUGAGGUAAUGUUUGUAUGUUAUGUUAUUGUUUUAACUCUUGCUCUGUUGAUUUCUUUAUGUUCGACACAACCAAAGUUUAACUGACUAAAAAAGUCUUUUGAGGCUCCAGUUUUCACUGUAGGGCCAGCCAAGUUUACUUGAUAGUUUUUAAGCAUGUAUCAUAGUGAUCCAAAUUACUAUCAUAUUAGUUUUUUGUUCUUUGGUGGGAGAGAAUAUUCACACACUUAGCUCUUAUAUUGAUUAUCUAAAUAGGUCAUGUUAUUCUACGAAGGGAGUCAGUUUGCCUUUGAUAGUGUUGGAAGUUACAUAUAAUAUGAGAAUAUGUGGGCAGAGUCUUUCAUGCUGCCAAGUUGAUUCCAUAGUUAUGCGUAUGAAAAAUGAUUGUUGCAAGCGCUUGGUGCAAAUGGCGUGCAACCGGCCAUUUAAUAAAUUUAUUUUCUCUC